rnacentral:rRNA from 1 species
CAGUCGCCGCGGGAAUACGAAGGGGGCUAGCGUUGUUCGGAAUUACUGGGCGUAAAGCGCACGUAGGCGGACAUUUAAGUCAGGGGUGAAAUCCCGGGGCUCAACCCCGGAACUGCCUUUGAUACUGGGUGUCUAGAGUAUGGAAGAGGUGAGUGGAAUUCCGAGUGUAGAGGUGAAAUUCGUAGAUAUUCGGAGGAACACCAGUGGCGAAGGCUGCUCACUGGUCCAUUACUGACGCUGAGGUGCGAAAGCGUGGGGAGCAAACAGGAUUAGAUACCCCGGUAGUCCCUGUCUCUUAUAC